rnacentral:tRNA from 1 species
GGUUCCGUGGUCUAGUGGUUAUGACUGUUCGUUGUGGAACAUCCUCAGGGAUAUCGCCAUUAUCCGAACCAGCCCGUGUUCGAUUCACGGCGGAGCCA